rnacentral:tRNA from 1 species
GGGGCUGUGGCUCUGCAGUAGAAUAUCUGCUUGGCAUGCAGAAGGGCCCAGGUUCCAUCCCCAGCAUCUCCA